rnacentral:rRNA from 1 species
GGAAUUUUCCGCAAUGGGCGAAAGCCUGACGCAGCAAUGCCGCGUGAGUGAAGAAGGCCCUCGGGUCGUAAAGCUCUUUAUCUUCGGGAAGAUGAUGACGGUACCGAAGGAAGAAGCACCGGCUAACUACGUGCCAGCAGCCGCGGUAAUACGUAGGGUGCAAGCGUUGUUCGGAAUCACUGGGCGUAAAGCGUCUGUAGGUUGUCUGUCAAGUCUGCUGUUAAAGCGUGGAGCUUAACUCCAUUUCGGCAGUGGAAACUGACAGACUAGAGUGUGGUAGGGGCAGAGGGAAUUCCCGGUGUAGCGGUGAAAUGCGUAGAUAUCGGGAAGAACACCAGUGGCGAAGGCGCUCUGCUGGGCCAUAACUGACACUCAGAGGCGAAAGCUAGGGUAGCAAAGGGAUUAGAUACCCCUGUAGUC